UACGUAGGGGGCAAGCGUUGUCCGGAUUUAUUGGGCGUAAAGAGCGUGUAGGCGGCCAGAUAGGUCUGCUGUGAAAACUCGAGGCUCAACCUCGAGAUGUCGGCGGAAACCAUUUGGCUAGAGUCCGGAAGAGGAAAGUGGAAUUCCUGGUGUAGCGGUGAAAUGCGCAGAUAUCAGGAGGAACACCGGUGGCGAAGGCGGGUCUCUGGGCCGAUACUGACGCUGAGGAGCGAAAGCGUGGGGAGCAAACAGG
rnacentral:rRNA from 1 species